CUCUCCGAGGUGUAUCCUGAGUACGGCGGGACACGUGAAACCCCGUCGGAAUCCGGCAGGACCAUCUGCCAAGGCUAAAUACUCCCUGGUGACCGAUAGUGAAGCAGUACCGUGAGGGAAAGGUGAAAAGCACCGCGGGAGCGGAGUGAAAAAGAACCUGAAACCGUGCGCUUACAAGAAGUCAGAGCCCGAUCAAUGGGUGAUGGCGUGCCUUUUGUAGAAUGAACCGGCGAGUUACGAUUACGUGCAAGGUUAAGGUGGAAAGCCGGAGCCGCAGCGAAAGCGAGUCUGAAUAGGGCGC
rnacentral:rRNA from 1 species